CCUGCCCUUGACUGGAGGAUAGCCUCUCGAAAGAGAGAUUAAUAUUCCAUAACAUAUAGGUUAAGCAUUUAAUUUAUAUCCAAAGCUCCGGACGGUCAAGGAUGGGCAUGCGGUUGAUUAGCUAGUUGGUGAGGUAACGGCUCACCAAGGCGACGAUCAAUAGGGGGUCUGAGAGGAUCGUCCCCCACACUGGUACUGAGACACGGACCAGACUCCUACGGGAGGCAGCAGUAGGGAAUAUUGGUCAAUGGAGGCAACUCUGAACCAGCCAUGCCGCGUGCAGGAAGACUGCCCUAUGGGUUGUAAACUUCUUUUGUACGGGAAGAAAUGUUGCUACGUGUAGCAAUUUGACGGUACCGUAAGAAUAAGGAUCGGCUAACUUCGUGCCAGCAGCCGCGGUAAUACCGAAGGAUCCAAGCGUUGUCCGGAUUUACUGGGUUUAAAGGGAGCGUAGGCGGGUCUCAUAAGUCAGUGGUGAAAAGCCUUCAGCUUAACUGAAAGAAUUGCCAUUGAAACUGCGAGAC
rnacentral:rRNA from 1 species